UUUUGCAGAAAUAAAUCAAAAACGGAGCGCGUUCUCGGCCCUUAAUUAAAACUCGAAUAUCGAAGCUUCGAAUAUCGAAUUUACCCAUCCCUACUACGUAUUGUACCACAAAACUAUAUUGCUUAUACCAUCAGAAAUUACUUCAAAGUAAUGCAACGCUAGAACCAAAGCAAGUGCACUUAUAAGGAAUGUAUUGACAUCAUAUUCACUUGUACCUUCGAUUUUGAUUUGGAUGAUAUCUAAGUGUCCUGGUCGAUGGGUUCGGGCUUAUGACAGCUCUACUCUAUAGGUGGGUACCAGGAUGAUUAAUAUUCCAGGGCAAGCAAAGAAAUUUCGAUUUUUCUUUUUCUCGCAUUACAGUACAUUUUUGAAUUUUCACUACACGCUAAGGAAGAACGGGAAUUAACCACCAGAGUGGCUUCCUAACUAGCAAAUCCACAAUUGACCAUGAUUUUUUGAAAAAGCCCUAGAUAAGCAAAUCGGUACCAACAACUCUUUCGCCUAUUUUAGGAUCAUGGAACAUACAGGUAAGGAUACCGAGAAAACUGCUGCUCUAAACUCGCGCUCUAUCCUUAGAUCGUCGGUGUAUUAGUGACAGGCAGAUGUAUAUAUCCAAUUACCCAUUUCCAUCGAACUAGAAAGGGCCUGGGAAAUUCUCAUUCUGGCAGUUAAUAUUUAUGCAUCCCAGUCUUCUCUACAAAUAUAUAUUCUUAAUCAGUAUUCGGCCAGAAAACGCACGGCGAAUGAGGUUGUAUUGGCACCGAUAGCAACUUAAAAAAACUUCAAGUUUUGAUGAACGAUUUGAAUUUAUCGACUUCGACCGAGACCAAAAAAACUACGCCAAUUUCCUCACUUUUUUGUGAAUUCCGUUAGUGGCUCUUCCCAAGAGCACACAGAUCUUUCUGCGCUUGAUCCCUUUAUUGUAUUCGUGAGUGCCCUUGCAUUCGUUGUCCACUUAUAGGUGCCGACAUGUGCUAUCCAUAAAUUUGUUUAUUGAGUUUGACUAAGUCCAUGCCAUUAUAAAGAUCAUAGCCAUGCAGAGUUCUAUUUAAUGGAGUCUGCACACAUAUUUUAGAAUUUCUCACUUUGGACUUCUUGCCAUCAAAAUAUCUUGCAAUUAGGUCCGCCGACGAGUUAGCCAAAAGAGAGUUUCUAAUCUGUUGGCGAAGCCCAUACCUCACAUGGAAUGGUUUAUCGCCGUCUCCACUGGCCAAUAGCCUACUUCAAAUGUUAAGAUUUAAUGAGGAACAAGAGAUCCACUUUAAUAGAAUACAACUUCCUGCGGGAUCUGUCCAAACAUAGACUUCAAAAAUUCUCAAUUUUAUUUAUCAAAUAAGCUGGUUGGUUUUAAAAACUUUUAAUUGUAGUUUAUGGUAUCGAACGCCAAACCACUAUGAGAAGUACGCUGUGUGCUUACAGGAAGGCCCUCAAUGAAACUUAAGAAAAUUAAACCCUAGCCUCGCAAGAGCAGAUCAACUGUGCAAGAGAAGCUCAUGAGAUUUCAUGUUGAAGACAGCUGUUGUAUUAUUGAUUAAUUAUUAUAUUGUCCGCCAGCUCAUAGAAUAGCGUUUCUUUAAGACCCUGCCUAGUAUCGAAUAUUCCUACUUAUUUUAUUAACUUUAGAAACUUCCUUGAGUUCGUCAGAUUUUUACUCACGGUCAGAAUUACCUUGCAAGGUUCCUAUGCAGGAACUGUUCAUCCAUCGAUCGGAAAGCAUGCAGUUGCAUACGAAAGUGAACUCAGGAAAUUCCCUGCUUCAUGUUUCAUGGGACGCAUACGAACGCCAAAUACUAGUUUGAGGUUAAGUAUAUAGGGUAGGAUAGCUAACGGAAAACUGCCGGUAGCUCACCUUCUUCAAAUAUUUUGCCAAACUUCGACCCUAUCCGUGCACAUGUUCGCUGGAUCACUGUGCGCGAGGGAUUUUCUUUCCCAAUCACUCCUUGAAAGGAUAUGUGUAGAAAGAAUUAUUUGGGAGCCAGCAUUGGUAUGUACCGAUCAUUUUCCUCAGGUAUGAUUUCGUAGUUUAAAGAGAUCGUCGAGCGCCUAUACGCCACCACCCAGAAGACAGGCUUAGUUCAUAAAUUUUGCUGAAAGAAGCGUUUGUUAAAAAUUUAAAAUCGGAAAUCAGCGGAGGACAGUGAUACCUCGUCUCUACAGCUACGACAAAAUUUAGAAAAAUGUCUCCGGUUUUGAAAACUGAUAGGAACCGGUGGGAGUUUCGAGACUACGUAACCAGCUCAGAGUGUUCCUGCAGUCGUGGAUAUGGAGAUUGAAGGAGCUACUACGAGCCACGUAUAGAAUGUAGGUCUACUGGGGCUCUCACGGCCUUAAGGAAAGUUUUUCGACAUGACACAUCCUCUUCAAAACUAGGCCAAAUCGAGGUCAGUAUGUUGAAAACUCUGAACCCAGGGGCAUCUUUUGUGAAAAAUGUCGAUCCAAAAGCGAAAUACGCGCAGUUAUCUGCUACCGCGCUGUGAAGGAACAACCUCAAGUUGAGAUUUUUAAUGAGGUUAAAACUGUUUAUGGUGAUGGAAGGGGAAUGCUAGCAAUGGAAGUCUGCCUGCUGUACGAUAAUGCCAGACCGCACACGGUCAAUGCCACGAAAAAAUUCCUGCACUCCUUUGCACUUGGCGCCUUCAGAUUACCAUCUGUCACUUUUCUGAAGAACCGCAGUGGACGAAGCUACAGACUUGCCAAAACACGUCACUGCGGACAGUGAACGGAUGCUUUCUGAUGUUGCCACAAUAUCGCCUGCAUAACUAGGCUCAAAUGCUCCCCGUUAAGGAGCACAACACAAUGCUCUGCAAGCAAUUCCUAAUAGGGUGUGACCGACAGCAUACCGACGGGCCAUAAACGGAAUUCACAGCGAAUCAGUAUCAACUUACACUGACUCUCGACCUGUAAAUGCCGUUUUGGGAGCACAACCACCUGACGUGUACGAGACAGAGUUUCCCGUCUGCCUCGAGCGAGUCGAACCACAAUAGCCCAACUUCGUCCUAGCUACAGCAGCAAGUUAAACUCGCAUCUGAGCUGAAUUGAUGCAGAUGUGCUCAACGAGUGCUCGUCAAGCGGAGAGAUACCCCGCGACUCGAGACAUCUCUUCGCACGCCCCUUAAAAUCCACUUAGAUAACGCCUAUGUCCCUUCGGACAAACCCCAUCGAGGCUGGGUCUCCCAUUAGUUGAGCUUGACGACAACGAUUGAAAUACAAAACCGAUCUAGGCGGGGUUCAGUAGCCAUUACAACAACAACAAUCUAACUCAUAAGAGCGCUAACUAUUUGGAUUUACCGCAAAGUUUUUAUGCGUCAAAAUCCUCUCCUAGAGGGAACUGUAUUGAAUGCAGUUUUAGUAGGACUCUAGGAACUUUGUGGACUAGAGGGCAAUGCUCUUGAAAUCAAAAUGGAAAAAACGAUUUGAAGGUUUUACAAUUCGCUAUAAGAUUUUACCUCUCCGAAUACUGAACCCCAGAGAGUGACACCGGGGUUUGUACAAUAUUGCAUUCUUGAACGAUCCGCAAGGUUACGCUUUCAGUCUUGUCUACUAUGCAGAAAAACUGUUAUAAAGAAGUACUGUAAUUCAUCUCAGUAUUUGAACGCGCGAAGCAUUUUUCGACUAUCCGCUAGAAAACAUAUGCCAAGCAAUAAGUAUGCCUCAAGCACACAAAUAAAUUUCAAUUCCGUUGCUGACUGUUACAAAUUGUGCCAAAGUAGUUGCCUCUUUGUUGAGGGCACGUUCUAUAGGCACUUAUUAAGUAUGUAUGUAUGUAUGUAUGUAUGCAUAGCAUCCGUGUUGCAAUCAAACUUGGGCUAAGUAAUGUGCGGCUGCGCUGCAUGCGAUUGCGCCUUUUUUUAUUAUUACUAAAAUGCUAUGACAAUAACACUUAACAUUUAAUCCCUCGAUCGAAAUAAAAACGGUGUCUGAUCUUUUAUUUGUUUUCUCCUUUAUUUAUGUAGUUUACUAGAGUACCACACCACCGAAUGAAUGUGUUGGACUAACUGCGCGUCAUUUUGCAUUCGCCAAGCGCGCAUAUGUGCAUAUGUCACAUUUCUUAAAAAGAGCCAUUCUGGACGCGAGCAAAACGGAAGUGAUUGUGAUAGCGCAGAAAAAUGCGAGCAAGCAGACGUUUUCAUAGAUGGCGAAGCGAUUUCUAGUUAUUGAAGCAGCAGCAGUGAAGUCUAAGUAGAAGAAAUUGUCCCUAACUUCAUUAAAACUAAGCUUACAGUACCUACUUUGAGCGAACUUUGAACUUUGCUUCCGUUUCCGCAGGCAAACAAAAUGAUUUGUUGCUUUGUCAUCGACAUCACCUUUAGACUACAUACUGGGUUUGCUUCUGCUAUAAAAAA